UACGUAGGGGGCAAGCGUUGUCCGGAAUCAUUGGGCGUAAAGCGCGUGUAGGCGGCUUGGUAAGUCCGCUCUGAAAGCCCGGGGCUCAACCCCGGGAGGCGGGUGGAUACUGUCAAGCUCGAGUCCGGAAGAGGCGAGUGGAAUUCCUGGUGUAGCGGUGAAAUGCGCAGAUAUCAGGAGGGACACCAAUGGCGAAGGCAGCUCGCUGGGACGUGACUGACGCUGAGACGCGAAAGCGUGGGGAGCAAACAGG
rnacentral:rRNA from 1 species